rnacentral:misc_RNA from 1 species
AAGACCAUCCGAGGCCUCCUG